rnacentral:misc_RNA from 1 species
GAUGAAGAACGUAGCGAAAUGCGAUAAGUAAUGUGAAUUGCAGAAUUCAGUGAACCAUCGAAUCUUUGAACGCACAUUGCGCCCGCUGGUAUUCCGGCGGGCAUGCCUGUUCGAGCGUCAUUUCAACCCUCAAGCCCCCGGGUUUGGUGUUGGGGAUCGGCUCUGCCCUUCUGGGCGGUGCCGCCCCCGAAAUACAUUGGCGGUCUCGCUGCAGCCUCCAUUGCGUAGUAGCUAACACCUCGCAACUGGAACGCGGCGCGGCCAUGCCGUAAAACCCCAACUUCUGAAUGUUGACCUCGGAUCAGGUAGGAAUACCCGCUGAACUUAAGCAUAUCAAUAAGCGCAGGA